GAGGAAUAUUGGUCAAUGGACGGAAGUCUGAACCAGCCAAGUAGCGUGCAGGAUGACGGCCCUAUGGGUUGUAAACUGCUUUUGUAUGGGGAUAAAGUCAGUCACGUGUCCCUAUUUGCAGGUACCAUACGAAUAAGGACCGGCUAAUUCCGUGCCAGCAGCCGCGGUAAUACGGAAGGUCCGGGCGUUAUCCGGAUUUAUUGGGUUUAAAGGGAGCGUAGGCUGGAGAUUAAGUGUGUUGUGAAAUGUAGACGCUCAACGUCUGACUUGCAGCGCAUACUGGUUUUCUUGAGUACGCACAACGUUGGCGGAAUUCGUCGUGUAGCGGUGAAAUGCUUAGAUAUGACGAAGAACUCCGAUUGCGAAGGCAGCUGACGGGAGCGCAACUGACGCUUAAGCUCGAAGGUGCGGGUAUCGAACAGGAUUAGAUACCCUGGUAGUCCGCACAGUAAACGAUGAAUGCCCGCUGUUGGUACCUGGUAUCAGCGGCUAAGCGAAAGCAUUAAGCAUCCCACCUGGGGAGUACGCCGGCAACGGUG
rnacentral:rRNA from 1 species